UGGUUGGGUUUCUUCUGCCCUUUCACACUUUCAGAGUGCCCUGAUGCUGCUCCAGUAUCCACAUCCCGCUUCCCUUCUUUUUUUGUGUGUGUUUUUUAGUGCUAUUUGAUCUUCCUAGAUGACCUUUUUUUUUGGUAGAUGAGCCUUCGCAUUCUCACGCAGCCUCUAGCUAUGACCACCUCUGCCUUCCUGAACGCAGCUUCUGGAGGAGAAAUCAGCCGGUCCUAGUUCAUCCCUGCAGGGCAGGUGGGAAGCAAGAUCUGCUCGUACAUCCCCCCCCUUCCCGCGAUGCCGUUCAUGUCACACAUUGCUGCUCCUGUUUUGGAAAGCCCCUGGGACCGCGAGAGUUAAUUCUUCAUCCCAGCUGCUUUCCUCUUAGAGCUCAGCAGGAAGAGGGAUUGUGCUAGGCAAGGGGCACCACUGCAUAGGGGGAGGAGAGAGAAGAAAAAAAAAAAGCUUCGUGUUCAGACCUUUUACCUAAUUUCUGAAGGUUCAGACCUGAGGGCCAUAGCAACGCGAGCUGCCGGCGGCGCGAUUGGAGGCGGCGGGCUGUGCUGGGCUGCCCUCCCAACCAGCAUCCUCGCCGAUGGGACGCGGCCGGUGUCGAGGCCGGCGUUGGCUUUCUGCCUCCCCUUCCCCUCGUCCAUGGGAUGAGCUUGAGGCAUGUGGUUGUGUGGGUUUUUGUUUUUUUUUUCAGCUGAUUGCCUUUGCUCAUUUCAAGUGCGUUUUCCCUGGUUUCUAUGAGUUGUUUAAAAAGUUCUUGGCACUUGUGAAAUCAGGUGGCAUCCAGGAAGGGCUGUUCUCAUGAAGACCUGCCUAGAAAUUAACAGGAUGGUAAAAGCCCAGAGAGUUUUAGUAUAUAUUUGUAUAACCAUGUAGAAGUGAGAGGGGGUGGCACUUUGCAGCUACAGAACAGAGUUUGGCCCAAAGGAGCUUGAGUCCUGCAGUACUUUCCUUUUACCAAGGUCAAAUAAGCCUUUGCAAAAACAUCAGGGAUUCCUGCAAACCGAAAGCAAAGACAUGACUUUGGGCAAUAAAAACUGCGAAAUGUU